AUGUCGUCGUUCGCCGGUGUGUCCGUAGUCGACGGCGACAAGGAGUGCUCUUGCGACACAUCGGCCGUCCACGCCGGCACCGACAACGGGUAUCACCUGCUCGUGGUUAGGGGCUACCCGGGUACAGCAGAGGGGUCACCCACCGGCGACAGCAUCACCACCGGUAUUUUCAUGGUAGGAGGCUAUUAUUGGUACAUCCAGUACUACCCUAACGGCUUAAACCCGGAUUGCGCCGACUACAUUUCCCUCUAUGUAGCCCUUGUCUACGACAACGACGAUGCCGAGCGUGGCCUGGCCGUGGAGGCCAAGUUCAGUUUCAGUCUCGUC
rnacentral:rRNA from 1 species